rnacentral:rRNA from 1 species
UACGUAGGGUGCAAGCGUUGUCCGGAAUUAUUGGGCGUAAAGAGCUCGUAGGCGGUUUGUUGCGUCGGCUGUGAAAUCCCGAGGCUCAACCUCGGGUCUGCAGUCGAUACGAGCAAACUAGAGUGUUGCAGGGGAGACUGGAAUUCCUGGUGUAGCGGUGAAAUGCGCAGAUAUCAGGAGGAACACCGGUGGCGAAGGCGGGUCUCUGG